rnacentral:lncRNA from 1 species
UUACUAAAAAACAGUAGUGCAUGCUCUUCCUCAAUAUGCAAUGUCAAUUUUCAAGAUUCCUGUUUCCAUGUGUAAAGCGAUGAACACAAGAUGGCAGCAUUUUAGUGGAAAAGUAGAGAAUCUCACUCUGGUAUUCAUUGGAAGAGUUGGGAUUUCUUGAAGCAAAGGAAAGACAAUGGAGGCAUGAGAUUCGAAGAUUUACUCUCUCUUAACAAAGCUUUCUUAGGAAGCCUAGAGAUUAAUGCAACAGUCUCACUCUUUAUGGGGCCAAAUUUUUUAAGGGAUUUACUUCCCAAAAAGGAGCUUCUGGCAUGCUGGGAAAGGACAGACCCUCUUGGGGCUGGCAAAGCUUACUAGAGUCUAGAGGGAAGUGACUCAAUCUUAGAAUCUUCAAUGUGGACAGUAGCAACAGGAGAAGCAAUCGGUAUCAUAGAGGCCAGAUGGUUGAAAAGAGGUGUAAUUGGAGGCCCAGCGAAUGAAAAUGACCCACAAUAGGUAGUAGAGCUUACAAACCAC